GCCGGGGUGGCAGAAUCUGGCAAUGCGCCGGCCUUGAGAGCCGGUGGCCAUCAUGGCCUUCUGGGUUCAAAUCCCAGCCCCGGCG
rnacentral:tRNA from 1 species